AGAGUUUGAUCAUGGCUCAGGACGAACGCUGGCGGCGUGCCUAAAACAUGCAAGUCGAACGAGGCCUUCGGGCCUAGUGGCGAACGGCGGAGUAAUACAUGAAUAACGUGCCCUAAAGUUCGGGACAAACGCAGAAAUGCCAUAAAUACCGGAUGUGACUCUCUUGCGGCAUCGUGAGAGAAUUAAAGGUUUUUCGCUUUAGGAGCGGUUCAUGGCCUAUCAGGUAGUUGGUGGGGUAACGGCCUACCAAGCCGACGACAGGUAGGGGGUCUGAGAGGAUGAUCCCCCCGAGUGGGACUGAGACACGGCCCACACACCUACGGGUGGCAGCAGUUGGGAAUCUUGCACAAUGGGGGAAACCCUGAUGCAGCGACGCCGCGUGGAGGACGAAGGCCUUAGGGUUGUAAACUCCUUUUGCAGGGAAAGACUUAGGACGGUACCCUGCGAAUAAGCCCCGGCUAACUACGUGCCAGCAGCCGCGGUAAGACGUAGGGGGCGAGCGUUGUCCGGAUUUACUGGGCGUAAAGAGCGCGUAGGCGGCCUGUUAAGUGAGAACUGAAAUCUCCAGAGCUCAACUCGGAAACUGGUUUUCAUACUGGCAGGCUAGAGGGAUGCAGAGGUAAGUAGAAUUCCUGGUGUAGCGGUGGCAUGCAUUGAUAUCAGGAGGAAUACCCGUGGCGAAGGCGGCUUACUGGGCAUCAUCUGACGCUGAGGCGCGAAAGCGUGGGUAGCAAACAGGAUUAGAUACCCCGGUAGU
rnacentral:rRNA from 1 species